AUUAAGGGCCUGGAGGAUUCUUUGUGUGGUUUGAGGAAACUGAGGCUCUUGCCCAAAGACAAGAGGGUCGGCACGACCAUGAACAUGCAGUGCUCUCUCCAAGGACUGGUUUUUCUCCUCCUCGGUGUCUUGUCGAGUGCUCAAGAUACAGUGAAUGUUGAUUUUUCCCCUCAUGGGGCUUUGUUUUUCAAGUUAAGCAGUAAGAUGUUGCAGAGAGAUAAAUUUUAUUCUCCAAUUGACCGGUGUCAGUGUUUUCGCCCUUCCCGGUCAACACCUAACAGCUCAGAAAAUGAUCACUUCCCGGUUUUCCUAUCAUGGAUUGUGGCUGAGGAACCUGUUCAGGCUGGGUUUCUGAUUUACCCUUCCUGCACUCCAUACUGUGUGCUCUCCAUGGGUAUUUUGGUUAUUUCUGGUCCUAGCUUAUGGAUCGUGUGUGUGUGUGUGUGUGUAUGCUUUAAGUAUGUAUAUGUGUGUGUGUGCAUGUAUAUGUAUUAUUUCAAGACUGGUGUGGGGGGGGAGAAUGUAUGAAGGCUAAAAGUGUAAAAAAAUAUAUCUGUCCGGCGGACGUCAAUCUUUUAGAUAGGAGUCCAUAGAACUGACACCCUCAGACUGGUAGAUUAAGCCACACUGCUGGAUUUGGUGUUGGUGGUGGUAAUGAGAAUGAUGAUAUGUGUGAAUGUACAUUUGAUGAGGGCAGAUAUGGAAACUUUCCUUUCUGCAAGGAAAGCACUCCCUGCAUAAUCUAUAAUCACACCCCCUGGAUAACCUGGCCCCUGCAGUCUAAGCCUGGCUGCUUUGGCAGAGCUCCUCACCUCUCCAUCCCUUCCUUAUCCCAUGUUCCCUCCCUAUCUCAAGCCUCCCCAGUCAGAAAUCUCUGUCUCUCUUCUUCAGGAAAUUCUGUUCCUCCCAACAGGAGCAAGAAGUUCUACUCCUCACUCCCGUGUUAAAUUUCUUCAAACUUCCAAUUCCUUGGGUGUAGGCCAUAUUAUAAUGAUGGCUAUCCUUUUUCAGGCUGUGCAGGCUCUUAUGGAUAGAGGUGGAUUCUCAAGAUGAAAUAUAACAUUGGUGCUCUGAUUAAAUUUGGGGCUCUCUAGCCAUGAGAGAAGUGAAGAAAUUUCUCCUUAGGCUGAGAAUAAAGCUCACCUCCUCCCUCAAGCAUAACGUUUCCUCAGAGAGAACUUUUGGCAGGAUCCUGUCAUUAAAGCACUAAUUUACAUACUAAGGCAUUCAGUUCACAUGAGUUUGCCUUAUCAACUUGGCAAUUUCAACCUUGGUAUGAUGGUUCCAAAGAGCAUUAAAUAUUUCCUGAGCCUGGCACAUGUUAUAGAGUCUCUACAGUAGGUCAGGAUCUGCCAGCUCCCUUUAGUUUUCUUCUAAAGAAUUUGCUUUAAAUCUCAGAGUCUGCACGCACACACUCACUCACUCUCUCUCUCAGUUGAAUCAUAAAGUUCCUGUACACCAUUUUAUAUCCACUUUCAAAAUUAAAAAUGUAUUCAAAAUUUCUUUUUGCCCUGUUAAGACAUCUUCUAUGUCAUUUGUAUGGUUGCCCCUAUUUCAGCCAUACUGUUAUUGAAUCAUAAUUUAUCUAAUCCUUUUUCCUUACAUUAAUGUUUUCAAUUACAAUGCUGUGAUAAAAAUUUUAUGAACAUCAGCAUUAAUCUAAUAGAAAAUCCACUAUUCUUUUUUCAAGAUAACCAUUCUAAAGGAUUCUCUUUACAUAUAUUCCCUAGUUAUCCAUCAGAAUAGUUUCAAUAGCUUUCAUUCUCAGCAACAUUAACUGAAUUUAAAGUGUUAUUAUUUUCUUUAUAAUCUCGUCUUAAGUGCAUGAUAUCAUGUUUUUAUUCUAAUAGACCAUAUAUAAAAAAUGUUACCUUAUUUCUUAUAUUGCAAUCUCAAGAUAACUUUCAUAACCACUUUUAUUUUUUCCUCUGGAAUGUUUUAAAUUUUCUUAUUUAUUUUAGGAAGUCUCUAUAAAAGAAUAUCAUUAGUGCUUUUCUUACAUGAUUUUUAAAAAUAAUUCCCUCAUUUUUUAAUGUUUUUAAGGUCAUGCGUCUGAAGGGGGGCUCAUAUGAUCAAAUCUACAAUGUUUACUUUUAUGAUUUUGGCUUUUAAUGCAAUGUUGCAAAUGCCAUUAUUCAUCCCCAAAUAACUUUUACUCCUGUUUUAUUUUCUGCAAAUAAUUUUAUAGUUCCACUAAAGACUAUGUAAAACAUUACUGAAUCUGAAUUUAUUUUACCCUGUGUGAUGGUGUGAUACAUUACCAGAUAGAAAUUACAUUUUAGAUAUGUGAUACCUCAGUUCCAUCACAAAACGAAAAUGCAUUGUUUCAUGAUUUCAUGGGUAUGACACCAAAAGAACAGGCAACAAAGCAAAAAUAGACACAUGCAAAUAUAUCGAACUGAAAAGCUUCUGCAGAGCAAAGGACACAUCAAUAGAGUGAAAAGGCAACCUGCAACAAGUCAUGUAAACAGUUUAUUUCCAAAAUAUAUAAGGAGAUCCUUCAACCCAAGAUUAAAAAAGAAAAAAACAAAACACUUUGAUAACCCAAUUAAAAAUUUGGCCAAGGACUUGAACAGACAUUUCUCUAAAGAACACAUACAAGUGGCCAACAGGUAUAUGCAAACUAUUGCCUUUGAAAUGGAUUAGCAAUGAGAUCCUGCUGCGUAGCACUGGGAACUAUGUCUAGUCGCUUAUGAUGGAGCAUGAUAAUGUGAGAAAAAGGAAUGUAUACAUGUAUGUGUAACUAGGUCACCAUGCAGUAGAGUAGAAAAAAUAAUCGUGUUGGGGAAAUGACAAUAAAAAAAAUCUUUUUAAAUAAUAAAAAAAGAAAAGAUGUUUGACAUUGCUAAUCAUCAGGGAAAUAUGAAUCAAAACCACAGUCAGCUCUUACCUCACGCCUGUCAGAAUGGCUUAGAUUCAAAGCCAGUAUUGGCAAGGUCGUGGAGAAAUUGGCACUCUUCUGACUAUUUAUCCCCAUUAAGUGUGUAAAUUGCAUCUCAGUAAAAUUAUUACCAAAGACCUGUAUGACUUAUAGUGCUGUCUCUUUUCAUUCUUGAUAUGUUAACUUCAUUUUUCUCUCAUUUCCGUAUUGCUCAGUGUUUAUCAAUUUUCAAUGAGCCACGUUUGAAAGAUUUUCCUCUAUUUUCCCUAUCUUAUGCUUACUUUCUUUUUCACUAAUUUGUGUUUUCUUUAUUAAUAUCAACUCUCUAUGUCCUCUAGGCUUUAUUCUCUCAUCUCCUAGUUUCUUAAACGGAAGCUUACAAUUUUUCAUUUUCAGUCUUCCCUCUUUUCUAAGUCUAGGGUAUAAAUUUCCCUUAGGCACUACUUCAGCUUCACUAGAAGAAUUUAGUUUUAUACCACACCUUUAUUAUCACUCUUUACAAUAUUUUCUAAUUUUUAAAUUUAUUCCAGAUUGAGGUACUGUUUUGGAAGGAUGUUUCUUAACUUUUCCAAAUAGGGAUGGCUGCCCUAUAUUUAUUUAUUAAUUAUUAUUUUUAUUCCACUGUGGUCAGAGUAAAUACUCUGUAUGAAUUCAUUUCUCUGAAAGUUUUUAUCAUAUGCUCAUUAUUAUUAUUUUUUGGUCUUUUGUCUUUUUACGGCCACAACCACGGCAUAUGCAGGUUCGCAGGCUCGGGGUCGAAUUGGAACUAUAGCUGCGAGCCUAUGCCACAGCCACAGCAAUGCCAGAUCUGAGCUGCAUUUGUGACCUACACCACAGCUCACAACAAUGCUGGAUCCUUAACCCACUGAGCGAGGCCAGGGAUCAAACCCGCAUCCUCAUGGAUCCUAGUCACGUUCGUUAACCACUGAGCCACGACGGGAGCUGCCUAUGGUCAUUUUUGCUAGGUGCUCCCAGUGCAUUUACAAUAAUGUGAAUUCUUUCGCUGUUGGGUGCACUGUUCUACAUAUGCUGUAUUGUUUUAUAUCUCCUUCAUUCUUCCUUCUUUUCUAUAUGCUUUGUCAGCAUGCUAUCGGAUGUGUUAAAGUUCCCCAUUUUAAUAGUGAUUUUUGUCUAUUUCUUCUUUUCACUCUCCCAAGUAUAUUUCAAAGCUAUGAUUUGUUUUUCCUUAUCUUCUUUUUACCGCCACACCCGCUGCAUAGGGAAGGUCCCAGGCUAGGGGUUGAAUUAGAGCUGCAGCUGCAGGCAUACACCACAGUCAUGGCAACAUGGGAUCCAAGGUGCAUCUGUGACCUCCACCACAGCUUGCACCAAUGCCAGAUCCUUAACCCAGUGAGUGAGGCCAGGGACCGAACCCACAUCCUCAUCCUCGUGGAGACAACCUCAGGUCCUUAACCCACUGAGCCACAAUGGGAACUCCUCAAAGCUAUGUUCUGAUGUCUUUCUUGGAUUUUGAUAUCUAUAAUGUUUUUAGUAAGAUUUAUCCCAUUAUAAUCAUGAAAAUUCUCUCGUUAACUCAAUUGGGGUAUCUUGCCUUAAAGUAUAUUUUCUGUGACAUUGACACAGUUUUCUAAAGAUUAGUGUUUACAUAGUACAUACAUUGUCUUCCAUCAUUUUACUUUCAAACUUUCUUUAUCCUCAUAUAGGCACUGAGUGUCUUGCAAGGAGUAUUUAGGUGAAUUUUGUUGCUUUAUCUACAUGGGCUUUUAUUUGAAGUAUCUAAUCCACUUCCUGUAAAUGCAAUACUGAUACUGUUGGGCUAGUAUCUACACUUUACUUUUAAUUGACCCAUCUGCAUUAUGUUCUUUUUUUCUCUUCUUCUGCAUAUUCUCUUGUAUUAAACAAGCUGUUAUUAUUCCAGAUUUUCCCUUUUUUCUUUGAUUUUCAUCAGCUUUACUAGGUGUGGGACUUUUCACUCCCUUCCAUCCAUUUUUAAAAAUGCUCAAUCAUUUUAUCUUCAAACAGUACUUCUGCUGCUCUGUCUCUGUUUAGCCUUUUUUUUUUCCUCCACACCCAUGGCAUAUGGAAGUUCCCAGACCAGGGAUCAAAUCUGAGCCACAGCUCCAACCUGUACCACAGCUGUGGCAACACUAGAUACUUAACCCACUGUACCUAGCCAGGGAUUGAAGCUGCACCUCCAUAGCAACCAGAGCUGCUGCAGUUGGAUCCUAAACCCAGUGUGCCAUGGUGGGAACUCCUGUCUCUGUUUGUCUUCUCCUCUUCCUUAUCUUUCUUCUCUUUCUCACCUCUCAUUUGUAGGAUACCUCUAAGUCAUUCAUGCUGUGUUGAUUUAUGUAAAAGAAUAUUCAUUCAAUUCUUCAAUUCAAUUCUUAAUUCUAUUCAUUUGAUCCUUCAUUCUAGACAUUUAUUUUCAGUGGGCAAUUGUUCCUUUCAUAUAUUUUAUGUAUUUACAAUUCUUUGUUAAUUUUUUUUCAUCUUUUCACCUGUUUAUUCUCUGCUUCCCUCUUUUUUCCUAAAUACAAAUUGAUCAUAGUUAAAAUCUUUAUCUGCCAAAUCCAGCAUCUCUAUCAUGUGUGCCUCUGCUUUCUCUUAUCUACUUUUUCUCACUUUGUUCAUUUGCCAUGCCAUCAGCCCUUCAAAUGCCAUGGAAUUUUUAUUGAAUGCUACAAAUUACGUAUGAAAAAAGGAAAUUCCAGAUACAUUUUCCCCCUCCCCUCUUUGGCCACACCAACAGCAUGUGGAAGUUCCUGGGACAGGGAUUGAAUGUGUGCCACAGCAGCAACCUGAGCUGCCACCGUGACAAUGCUGGAUCCUUAACCUGUUGCACCCCAAGGGAAUGCUGUCCACAUAUAUUUUCUAACACCUGAAAGGAUUCACCUUUUGUUCUGCUAGGCAGGUGGGAGAAAGGUUGCAGAUCACCCAAAUAUCUGUAUACAACCUAGAACAGAGUUGUGACCAGUCUGGAUUGCAGUUUCGGUAACACUCCAUGUACCUUCCAUUCUUCUGUUUCUACGCCAUGGGCUUUCAGGGCUUUGAAUUGACAGUUUGGAAGUUUUGGUAGCUCAGCACUCAAGAGAAUGAGGGAAUAUCUACUCUACUUUCCAAAAUUUUUACAUCGUUCUUUGUCCUCCUGCCCUUCACAGCUUGUAUACUGGGCAAAUAUUUGAGGAGACAACUUGUUAUGUGAGAGUGGCUUUCAAGUCUCCUAUUUUGUCGCUUCAGCACCAGGUAACCCUCAAAGUUACACUGGCCUAUCAUAUGUCCUCUGCUUGCCUGAGCCCAAAUUCUAAGCCAUGUACCAAAUUGUGAAAUUCCCACAGAGAAAAAGUAGUUGUAGAUCCUUGGCUAACAUUGAAGCAUGUUUCAUGGUCUCACUCUUCCGAAUUUCAGCACAUUUAGUCUGUGUUCACAAAUGUCUAAUAAAUUUACUUCUUUGAAAAACAUUUUCCAGGCUUUAAGCUGUAGACAGCAAGAUCAUUGGGCUGCUGUGAAUCCCUCCAUUCUUCAUGGAGGUAGAAAAUGUUAGGUUUUCUUCUUUACUUCAUCAUUUACUUAAAGUGCAACAUCAUUACGCAUUAUUCAAUCUUUCUUUACAUCACUCUUUACAUACAAAAGGAGAGAAUAAUACACUGAGUCUGUCAAAAUUGUUUCUUCAUGUGCUUUCGGACCAGGAAUAUAACCUAUUUCUUCCCUGUGGUGAGGUUAGAAAUACAUGAUGUUUUCCCUCUAAAGACCAAAUCACUCCACAUGUUGAACAACAGUGACUCCUGACACAAAAUCCAAGUUGAGAUGAGAUUUAUUUGGGAAAAGAAGUGCCAUUCUAGGAGUUCCAGUGGAAUUUGGCCAGUUCCAAUCAAUAUUUUACCUCCUCUCUCAUGCAAGUUUCCACAAUCUACUUAAAGAGAUUAUAUUUUUUGAAACUAAGACUCCAGAUCUGGAGUCUGAAGCUGUGAACUGUAAAUGAAGGAUUCUGAGGCAAACCAUGGCAUAUCAUGGUAUGUUUCUUAGUUUGAAAUGACUAUACCAAGAACGAUUCUAAGUAGUAGAGGAUUCGUGGCUGCUAGCCGAGGCUUCUGACGAGACCAGUUCCUCACUCCAUUCCUUUUAAUCUAAUCCUUUUAACUCUCAGGUCAAUGGCAGCAAAGUGUGUGUGGGG
rnacentral:lncRNA from 1 species